UACGAAGGGAGCUAGCGUUACUCGGAAUCACUGGGCGUAAAGCGCAUGUAGGCGGAAAUACAAGUCAGAGGUGAAAGCCCUGGGCUCAACCCAGGAAUUGCCUUUGAAACUGUAUUACUUGAGUAUGGUAGAGGAUAGUGGAAUUUCCAGUGUAGAGGUGAAAUUCGUAGAUAUUGGAAAGAACACCAGUGGCGAAGGCGGCUAUCUGGACCAUUACUGACGCUGAGAUGCGAAAGCGUGGGGAGCAAACGGG
rnacentral:rRNA from 1 species